UACGUAGGGUGCGAGCGUUAAUCGGAAUUACUGGGCGUAAAGUGUGCGCAGGCGGCCGAGCAAGUCGAGUGUGAAAGCCCCGAGCUUAACUUGGGAACUGCGCUCGAAACUACUUGGCUAGAGUGUGGCAGAGGGGGUGGAAUUCCACGUGUAGCGGUGAAAUGCGUAGAGAUGUGGAGGAACACCGAUGGCGAAGGCAGCCUCCUGGGCCAACACUGACGCUCAUGCACGAAAGCGUGGGGAGCAAACAGG
rnacentral:rRNA from 1 species